rnacentral:rRNA from 1 species
CCCUUAGAUGUUCUGGGCUGCACGCGCGCUACACUGGUGCGUUCAGCGAGUUUAGCACCUUAACAGAUAUGUUUGGGUAAUCUUCUGAAAACGCACCGUGAUGGGGAUCGAUUAUUGUAAUUAUUAAUCGUCAACGAGGAAUUCCUAGUAAGUGUGAAUCAUCAGUUCGCGCUGAUUACGUCCCUGCCCUUUGUACACACCGCCCGUCGCUCCUACCGAUUGAAUGAUCCGAUGAAUACCAUGGAUUGAGAGUACGAAUAGGUUCGCUUAUUUCUGCUGCUCGAGAAGUGGAGUAAAUCUUAUCAUUUAGAGGAAGGAGAAGUCGUAACA